AUUGGGUCAGCAGAAAGGCCCAGGACCACAUGGGCCAUGGAGAAUGAAUUGGCCCCUAGAACAAGAGAGAGAACACUUUCAGAUGACGAAGGACUGUUGUUCAACAAAGCCACUGCUAACAGCUACCAAAAACUACAGAGUAAGCACAGUUAAAGAAGGGAAGAAGAGAUCCACCUUGCAGUUUAUCACUUGGCAAUGCUUGAAGAGACUCCGGAUUGCUCCUGUGUUGUCAUGCAUGACCAAGAGACCCCUUCAGAGGAAAGCCUAAUUAAAAGGAGAAAAGGACUGCCGGCUUUGUUUGUUUGUUUGGAA